rnacentral:lncRNA from 1 species
GGUAGGAUUAUCUCCCUAUAACCCAGUGGACAGCAAGUGGAAACAUCACCUCUGCACCAUGUUUCCUGUAGUACUACAAUAUCAACAUCAGCAAUUUAUUUCAGGAAGUCUGGGUUUCUGCUCUUUAGCCCAAAAGCAGAGGACUUCAAUCCUUUUGUUGUGCUCAUCUUACCAUGACCCUCGGCCUAUCACAUGUGAGCAUCCAUGACCCUCGGCCUAUCACAUGUGAGCAUCCAUGACCCUCGGCCUAUCACAUGAUCCUCCCUUCUACCAGUAACAGUUUCAUGUUGAAGAACCUGGUAUCUGGAGUGGACUACAACUUGUGUGUCCUGGCCAUCUUUGAUGACAUCGUCACCUCCUUGGCGGCGACCAAG